rnacentral:rRNA from 1 species
GAUUAACGCUGGCGGCGUGCAUAACACAUGCAAGUCGAACGAAGUGGCGGACGGGUGAGUAACGCGUGAGUAAACUGCCUUAGAGAAGGGGAUAGACUUUGGAAACGAAGAAUAAUACCCUAUACUCUAAGAUGGACUUGCGUCGGAUUAGUUGGUUGGAGAGGUAAAGGCCAACCAAGACAGCGAUCAGUAGCCGGCUUGAGAGAGUGUACGGCCAAAUUGGGACUGAGACACGGCCCAGACUCUACGGGAGGCAGCAGUGGUGAAUUUUGCACAAUGGGGGAAACCCUGAGGCAGCGACGCCGCGUGAUUUAGAAGGCCUUCGGGUUGUAAAAAUCUUUUCUAUGGGAAUCAGUACCAUAGGAAUAAGGACCGGCUAAUUACGUGCCAGCAGCCGCGGUAAUUC